CCCUUGGCCUUGACAUACUAAGAACUUUCAGAGAUGGAUUGGUGCCUUCGGGAACUUAGAUACAGGUGCUGCAUGGCUGUCGUCAGCUCGUGGCGUGAGAUGUUGGGUUAAGUCCGCAACGAGCGCAACCCUUUUCCUUAUUUGCCAGCGGGUAAUGCCGGGAACUUUAAGGAUACUGCCAGUGACAAACUGGAGGAAGGCGGGGACGACGUCAAGUCAUCAUGGCCCUUACGGCCAGGGCUACACACGUGCUACAAUGGUCGGUACAAAGGGUUGCUACCUCGCGAGAGGAUGCUAAUCUCAAAAAGCCGAUCGUAGUCCGGAUCGCAGUCUGCAACUCGACUGCGUGAAGUCGGAAUCGCUAGUAAUCGCGGAUCAGAAUGCCGCGGUGAAUACGUUCCCGGGCCUUGUACACACCGCCCGUCACACCAUGGGAGUUUGUUGCACCAGAAGUAGGUAGUCUAACCGCAAGGAGGACGCUUACCACGGUGUGGCCGAUGACUGGGGUGAAGUCGUAACAAGGUAGGCGUAGAUGA
rnacentral:rRNA from 1 species